UACGUAGGGGGCUAGCGUUGUCCGGAAUCAUUGGGCGUAAAGCGCGCGUAGGCGGCCCGGUAAGUCCGCUCUGAAAGUCCAGGGCUCAACCCUGGAAUGCGGGUGGAUACUGCCGGGCUAGAGUCCGGAAGAGGCGAGUGGAAUUCCUGGUGUAGCGGUGGAAUGCGCAGAUAUCAGGAAGAACACCCGUGGCUAAGGCGGCUCUCUAGUACGGUACUGACGCUGAGACGCGAAAGCGUGGGGAGCGAACAGG
rnacentral:rRNA from 1 species